AGACUAGUAUGAAUGGCUAAAUGAGGACUUAGCUGUCUCCUUUGGUUAAUCAGUGAAAUUGAUCUACCCGUACAAAAGCUGGUAUAAACACACAAGACGAGAAGACCCUGUGGAGCUUAAAACACCUGUGCCAAACCAGCACCUUCUGCCAAAAUGACACAGCGUUUUCAGUUGGGGCGACUACGGAAACAAGCCUAACUUCCAAGCCAGAGGCAUACCCCCUCCCACCACAGACAAACAUGUCAAACUACCAUCUGACCCAGAACCACUCUGAAUAACGAACCAAGUUACCCCAGGGAUAACAGCGCUAUCUUCUUCAA
rnacentral:rRNA from 1 species